rnacentral:tRNA from 1 species
AGUUAAUUAACUUAAGAAAAGUAUAUGUUUUGAAAACAUAGAAUUAGAAGUUUAAUUCUUCUAUUAACUU